rnacentral:ncRNA from 2 species
GCCGUUCUUAGUUGGUGGAG